GAUGGACGCUGGCGGCGUGCCUAAUACAUGCAAGUCGAGCGAAUGGAUUAAGAGCUUGCUCUUAUGAAGUUAGCGGCGGACGGGUGAGUAACACGUGGGUAACCUGCCCAUAAGACUGGGAUAACUCCGGGAAACCGGGGCUAAUACCGGAUAACAUUUUGAACCGCAUGGUUCGAAAUUGAAAGGCGGCUUCGGCUGUCACUUAUGGAUGGACCCGCGUCGCAUUAGCUAGUUGGUGAGGUAACGGCUCACCAAGGCAACGAUGCGUAGCCGACCUGGGAGGGUGAUCGGCCACACUGGGACUGAGACACGGCCCAGACGCCUACGGGAGGCGGCAGUGGGGAAUCUUCCGCAAUGGACGAAAGUCUGACGGAGCAACGCCGCGUGAGUGAUGAAGGCUUUCGGGUCGUAAAACUCUGUUGUUAGGGAAGAACAAGUGCUAGUUGAAUAAGCUAGCACCUUGACGGUACCUAACCAGAAAGCCACGGCUAACUACGUGCCAGCAGCCGCCGUAA
rnacentral:rRNA from 1 species